CUCUGCCUCUUGGGUUCAAGCAAUUCUCUUGCCUCAGCCUCCCAAGUAGCUGGGAUUGUAGGCGCCUGCCACCACACCCAGCUAAUUUUUGUAUUUUUAUUAGAGAUGAGGUUUCACCAUGUUGGCCAGGCUGGUCUUGAACUCUUGACCUCAGGUGAUCUACCUGCCUUGGCCUCCCAAAGUUCUAGGAUUACAGAUAUGAGCCACCGCGGCCGAUGGACUUCUUCCUUUGUUUACUUGUUUAUUUGCGUCUCCCCACUGGAGUGUAAAUUUCAAGAGGACAGAAGACAUGUCUGUUUGAUUUGCUAUCACAUCCUCAGUGUCUGGCUCAGGACCUAGCUCAGCCUGGAUGCUCCAAAAUGAAACAGAUUUUGGGUCCUGAGGCCCCAGAUGAAACACCUCUGCCUCAGUGCUCUUAUCUGUUAGAUGGGCAGCUCAUCAGGGUGACUGUGAAAAUGAAAUGAGAUGAUGGAUAUAAAGCAGCCUCGUGUUGCACAAAUGCAUUGUGAGUUGAAUUCUAGUUCCUUUCAGCUUCAGCCUCUCUGGGUUUGUAGAUUUCGGCUAUGCCCCAAGGUUUCAAGGUGAAAGACCUUGAAACCCAGAAGGGCAGAGAGGCCUGGUCUGGUAGAGAAUCAGGAGCAGAAUCCAGGAGACCUGCCUUACAGCUCACCAGGGGGAAGGUGUGAGACAGCCCACCUGACCCCAGGGAACAAAGGCUGCCCACCUUGAUAGGGAGAGGGUGGGCCACCAUGCCUGUGCCUCUUCUUGGAUAGCCAGUGGGGAUGGUGCUAUCAUUGCACUGAGGCCUGCAAGACUCAGGCCACCACCCUUUGUCGGGAAACAAGGUCUUCCCUCAAGGACAGGAUCACCUCUGGUGGGAAUCUCCUAGAGAAGAGGCAGCUCCUCAGGCCAGGCACGGUGGCUCACGCCUGUAAUCCCAGCACUUUGGGAGGCCGAGGCGGGUAGAUCACAAGGUCAGGAGUUCAAGACCAGCCUGGCCAACAUGGUGAAACCCCGUCUCUACUAAAAGUACAAAAAUUAGCUGGCCAUGGUGGCAUGUGCCUGUAGUCCCAGCUACUCUGGAGGCUGAGGCAGAAGAAUUGCUUGAACCCGGGAGGCAGAGGUUGCAGUGAGCAGAGAUUGUGCCACUGCAUUCCAGCCUGGGUGACAGAGCAAAACUCCAUCUCAAAAAAAAAAAAAAAAAGAGAGAGAAGAGGCAGCUCCUCCGAGAUGGGUCAGAGCUCUAUGGGGAGCCCCAGGUGGGCAUCUAGAUGGUGAAGAGCCCAAAGACUCUAGAAGUGGGUUCUCGGGACUUGCGCAUGCGUACAUGUGUUUAUAUGUGUAUACAUGUGUUUAUAUGUUUGUGCAUGGGUGUUGUGUCCAUGUGUUUAUAUGUGUGUGCAUGUGUUUGUAUGAAUCAAUGUGUACUGUAUGCAUGUGUGUUUGUGUGUGCGUAUGUAGGUUUGUAUGUGUGGGAGAUGUAUUUGUGUAUGUAGAUGGGAUGUGUGUGUCAAUGUGUAUAUGUGUACAUGUAGUGUACUUGUAUUCAUUGUCUAUUACUUUUUUUAAAAAUCCAGUUUUAGCAAAGAAUAUCUAUGGCUUAUUGCUACAUGACAAAUUACCCCAAAGCUUAGUCGCUUAAACUAUAAACAUCUAUUUCACAGUUUCUGUGGACUGGGAAUCUGAGAGAGGCUUAGCUGGGUAUUUUUGGUUCAGGGUCUCUCUUGAAGUUGCAGUGAAGAUGUUACUCAGGGUUGGCUGUAGUCUUCUGAAGGCUUGCGUGGGGCUAGAGGAUCCACUUUCAAGAUGACUCACCCUCCUGGCAAGACGAUGCUGGCUGUUGGCAGGAGGUCUCAGUUCCCUACCACAUCAGCCUCUCCAUAUGGCUGCUUGAGUGCCUCAUGACACAGCAGCUGGCUUCCUCUGGAGUGAGUGACCUGAGAGAGAGAGAGAACCAGGCAAAAGCCACAGUGUUUUUAAAACCUAGCUUUGGAAGUCCCAUGCCAUCAUUUCUGCCAUAUUAUACUGGCCACAGAGACCAACCCUGAUACACUGUGGGAGGGACUACACAAAGGCAUGAAUUCCAAGAGGUAAGGAUCACUGGAGGUCAUCUUGUAGGAUGGCUAUCACAUGCAGUAUGUGCGUGUGGGUAUGUGGGGUGUGUGUUUGUGGGUGUGUACAUAAAGAUGUGUGUGUUUGUGUAUAUAUGUGUAUGUUUUUGCAUAUGUAUAUAUGGAUAUAUAGCAAUAUGUUUGUGUGACAUGUAUCUAUGUAUUGUCUGCAUAUGUGUAUGCAUGCAUUUAUGUAUAUGUAUCUGUGUAUUGCACAUGUGUGUUUUUUGCGCACGAGUAUGCAUGCAUGUAUUAUGCCUACAUGCAUGUCUCUGUGUUUGUAUGUUGUGCAUGUGUGCAUAUAUGUGUAUGCCUUUUUGUAUGUAUUUGU
rnacentral:lncRNA from 10 species